CGAGGGCCGCGCCCCGGCGCGGCCCUCGGCCCGACUCCGGUACCUGAUACGGCCGGGGCGG
ncrna:unclassified sequences L17-Actino-Proteobacteria ribosomal protein leader